rnacentral:misc_RNA from 1 species
AAUCAUCUUUCAAAACAAUUUUUUUUUUUUUCUUCCACCCGCAUUGAAUUUAGACUGUUACAUCUUGCGUCAUCAUUCCAUAUCUCAUUAGUGCUUAGUUUGGAUCACCUUUAGUGUUCAUUGUAUUCAUUUACAUUUAUCAUUUAUGCAAUUUAAAUUAUUUUUACUGUGUUUUAACAUGUCAAUUUGUGUUUAGAGUGACAAAGCAAUUUAAUGCACAUUUAAGCUCCUUGAAAAAUUUUCAUAGCAAAACACGCCUCUGCAAUUUAGUCAAAUAAUUAUUUCCGCAGCGUAUUGCUACUACUUUUUUGCUAGGCUUUUUGCAUUAAGCAACAUAUUGCCUUUACUUUUUUAAUAGGCUCUUUGCGACAGUUAAGCGCCUGGACAUAUUUUAAUAGCAAAUCUCGCUUUGAAUCUUUGUUUAAAAUUUUCAUCAGGCAUUUAAAUAGAAGUUAGAUUACUGUUGUAGCUUUAUUAAAUAGUAACUAAAUAUGUCUGACAUUAAAACGCUUAUUAAAAAGCGAGCUGCGCUUAAGGCUAAGCUUACGCAGUUCACAAAUUAUUUAAAUGUAGUCAAGUCUUGCGAAAAGUUAAGUGAGACUCAGCUCAUUGAACUUGAACAACGGUUAAUUGCGUUCGAAAAUUCAUAUGAGAAAUAUGACACGUUACAGAUCAGCCUGGAAGAAGCAGUGGAGGAACCCAGUGAGCAAUAUGCGGAACGCGAGGAAUUCGAGAACUUGUACUACGCGCUGCUUGCUUCUGCGCGUCAGCUGGUCGGCAACGCUCGCCGGGAGUUGUCGGCGGAUUCCGCGUCUGAGGUUGUAUCUGGUACUUCUCACACACACAAACACACAUCAGUUCGUCUACCCAAAAUUGAUUUACCUAAGUUUUCUGGCAGCUAUCAUGACUGGCUAGAAUUUAGGGACACAUUUAUUUCCAUCAUACAUAAUAAUGAGAGCAUAGACAAAAUAAACAAACUGCAUUAUCUUCGUGCUUCUUUAAAAGGCAGUGCCUCUCUCAUUAUUGACAAUUUAGACUUUAGGUCAGAUAAUUAUGACGCCGCUUGGAAGUUGCUCUGCUCAAGGUAUGACAAUAAGAGACUGCUUGUUAAUAAUCAUGUUCAAGCCAUUUUUAAUGUAAACAGCAUCAGCAGAGAAUCAAGUAAGGCAUUACGUCAUUUAGUUGAUACAGUUAACAAAAAUUUAAGAGCUUUGUCCACUCUUGGUCAGCCUGUACAGUAUUGGGACACUCUCAUUAUCUACAUCAUGACCAGUAGGCUUGAUCAGGUGACGAAUCGUGAAUGGGAAGAGCACAGGAAUUCGUUGUCUGACCCUCCAACGUUAGACAUUUUCAUUAAUUUCAUCAGCAAUAGAGCUGACUUAUUGGAGACACUAGAAGAGUCUAGACCUUUAAAAUCUAGGUCUGAAGGCACUGCUGACAGUUAUCAUAGGUCAAAAUCUUUUGCAUUAACAUGCGAUUCUUCAAACUUAAAACUAUUAUCUUGUCCCAUGUGUAAGGAAAAGCACUUCAUUUUUCAGUGCGAUCAAUUUAGAGCUUUACCUGUUCAGGAUAGGAUCAAGAAAGCUCACGCUUCAAAAGUUUGUCUCAAUUGUCUUCGACCAGGUCAUCACGCACAAACAUGCAAGUUGAGUCAUUGUAAAUAUUGUCCUGAAAAACAUAAUACUUUGCUGCACACUGAUAAAGAAUCUCCUCGCACACAAAACAUAGUUCUUUCUGCGAAUCACCUAAAUACUGCAAAGGUUGUAUUACUGUCCACAGCGGUCGUGAAGGUGUCCGACGCUGAAGGCAACCUCCAUGAUGCCAGACUGUUGUUGGACAACGGAAGCACUGCGAACUUCGUAACUGAAGACUUCUGCCGCAAGCUACGUAUCCAUUCUUAUCCCAUUACAUCUAAUGUAAAAGGCAUAAAUGACCAGUCUUCGAUAUGCUCACGUGGCUGUAUAAUUUUAAUUAAGGCAGGCCAUAGUGAGUUUGAGAUAGAGUUGGAUUGCUAUGUCAUAUCACAAGUUUCUUCUUCUGUACCUAAUACUUUUAUUCAUACAGAUAACAUUUGUUUACCUAGCAAUAUAGUUCUUGCCGACCCUAACUUUUAUACUCCGUCUUCCAUCGACAUCCUUGUCGGAGCGGAAGUAUUUUGGGGUAUCAUAGGCAUGAAUCGCAUUCCGCUAGGGAAAAACAUGCCUACCUUAGUAGACUCAAAAUUAGGCUGGAUAGUAACAGGCGUUGUACAGCAGCCUAAUCAUUCAUUUCCUCACACUUCUUUUCUUACUCUUACAGACGAUUUACGGCUGGGUUUGAAUCGUUUUUGGGAGCUGGAUUCAGUACAUCCACAACACAAACAGACAUGCGAGGAGCGAUCCUGCGAAGACAUUUUCGUAGAGACCACCUAUCGCGAUGCGGAUGGACGGUUGCUCUUGGGAUGAACCCGUUCCUGAAGAGAUUCAGCAUGUUUGGAGUGACUUCCUACACACCCUUCCUCGUCUGAAUGAACUGAACAUACCCCGCUGGGUCACUUGUGAAUCGAGAACACCAACAUCUCCAAUCUGCAACGGUUUCGACGCGUCGAAUGUCUGAAGCAGCAUU